CAUGUUUAUAACUGUGAAAUAUUAUUGGAUACUGACUUUGUUAUUUAUCCAUUGUAAAAUAAUCCUCACUUUAGCUUCAAUCAUUUUAUACACUACAAAUAUUUGGCAUUAGUUUUCUUUUAUAAUUUUCCACACUAUUCUGCAUGGCAUAUGUUUUCCUUUUUGACCCGAUGUAUCUGCAGCUUGGGAACAGAUAAUUUGGCUUCUUGUGCAGUUGUUACUACUUAAACUGUUGAUUGGCAGAACUAAUUUGCAGCUGACAAAUGCUACUAAUUAGCAACCUCUUAAUAUAACACAGCUGUCAAUAAGUGUUUAUACUAUUUUGUCAAUCCCGUAUAUAUAUAAAAAGUGUUCUGAACAUGAAACAUUUUAUAACAGAUUUGUUCAAACAUUGACAGAUCAUGGGUCUGUUUUUGGCAUUCCUUAUUUUAACGUUUUGCCUAUUUAGAACCAGGAUGUCACCUGCUGUUUAACCUUUUUAUAUUGAUUAGUUUGCUUACAUUUGUGAAGACAAUUACCAUAAUAUUUUUUUCUGAGGGCGUAAGCUUCCAAGACACUUAAUCAAUAAACUUCAUGAAA